GCACUCUCAGAUUUGCUCAGACUCUUGAGAUGCCCAAGAUGAAUGCCAGGAAGCUGAAGUGCCUGAAUAUUUGAGCCGCCUGUGCUCCAAGGUAUCAGUGUAACCUCUGGGUGUCCUCCUCAGGACUUGGUAGGUCUGCGAGGGUGCCAGAUGUCCUGUUCAGAGAGAAAAGGGGAUUUGCAGUGAAAAUGUGCACCACCCGAGAGUUCAAAAUAAGAACACAGUGAAACUGACGAGCCCCUGCAGAACUUUUCAAUUUUGUUGAAUCAACAUUUUCAAACAGAAAAUUAGUCCAUUGGAAAAUUUUCAACCAGUAGUACUUUUGGAGACAGUACCAAUACAAGUAAUUCUCCCUCAGUGUGAUGGGGUGGGACCCACCAUGCCAGCGCCUCCUACUGGUCGUCUUGUGGAUCAGCUCCACAA